rnacentral:rRNA from 1 species
GAGUUUGAUCAUGGCUCAGGAUGAACGCUAGCGAUAGGCUUAACACAUGCAAGUCGAGGGGCAUCACGGGAUUAGCUUGCUAAUCUUGGUGGCGACCGGCGUAAGGGUGCGUAACGCGUAUGCAACUUGCCUGUCAGUGGGGAAUAACCCGGAGAAAUCCGGACUAAUACCGCAUACACUUUAGUUUCUGCAUGGGGACUUUAGGAAAGAUUUAUUGCUGACAGAUAGGCAUGCGUUCCAUUAGAUAGUUGGUGAGGUAACGGCUCACCAAGUCAACGAUGGAUAGGGGAGCUGAGAGGCUUAUCCCCCACACUGGAACUGAGACACGGUCCAGACUCCUACGGGAGGCAGCAGUGAGGAAUAUUGGUCAAUGGGCGAGAGCCUGAACCAGCCAAGUCGCGUGAAGGAAGACGGUCCUAUGGAUUGUAAACUUCUUUAGUAGGUGAGUACAAGCAGUUACGUGUAGCUGUAAGCAAGUACCUAGAUA